UCCAGCUUACAUCCAGGACAUGGUCAAACCCGACAUCCCGACCCGCACUCUCCGCUCUGCAUCUGAUAAACUGCUUGUCCUUUAUAAAUCCCAUUAACACGGUGGACGGACAGCUACUUAAAAAACAAAUUUUUUGGAUUUCCUGCAAAUCUGAGAAAGGAGAACUGGGACAGAGGUUCUAACUGCUCGUGUGUGUGUGUGUGUGUGUGUGAGGUAGCACAGCUGCUAGAGACCUGUUUGUGCACUUCUUCUGCAUCGUUCAUCGCUCUGCAGAAGAAGUGCGAACGCGCGCUUACUCAUCGCCGCAUCCUGAACCAUGUUUGCUUGUUGCCCGCGAGCCAUCGCGUCAUCUCAAAGGGGCAGCAACUCGUCACACGGAGCGACGUGCCUCUGGAUCGGGCGGGAUCUACACUUGGUUGAAGAGGCUCAAACGCAGACACACAUCAUCACUUCGUUGGCGUUGGCGAGAGACGGAGCACAAGGUCAAAGAUGCUCUGAGCGGCAAACAGGGCCUGUUUGAACAGUCUGUCACUGUUUGUAACUGUGAACCAGCUGGACAACUGCAUUCUGAGUGUGAAUUCUGUUAAUGUACAUGUGGCCAUAAAAUAUGUAUUAAACGAGCUGAGAUGCAUGUCGCCUCACAUUCACUCACAAAUCACAUGCAAGUCAAAGGUGUGCUUUACAUACAAUCUAGAUUGACAGUACAACCGAGUAAACUGUGUGUUUUCAUGUUGUUGUGUUCAACGCAACACUCUGUUUUGUCCAUUCUAACCCUUGAAUAAAAAUGUUCACCAGCUAA